rnacentral:rRNA from 1 species
AAUCAACGCUGGCGGCGUGCCUCAGACAUGCAAGUCGAACGCGAAAUUUCCCUUCGGGGAGAAAGUAGAGUGGCGCACGGGUGAGUAACACGUAGGUAAUUUGCCUUUGGGUGGGGAAUAACAGUCGGAAACGGCUGCUAAUACCGCAUAAUGCAGCGGCUCGACAUCGAGACAGUUGUUAAAGCGGGGGAUCGCAAGACCUCGCGCCUGAAGAGAAGCCUGCGGCAGAUUAGCUAGUUGGUAGGGUAAUGGCCUACCAAGGCAACGAUCUGUAACCGGCCUGAGAGGGCGGUCGGUCACACUGACACUGACAUACGGGUCAGACUCCUACGGGAGGCAGCAGUCGGGAA